rnacentral:lncRNA from 1 species
GAACGGGAAGAAAGGACAUGGAAGAGCACUAGGAGGAGAGCUAGAGAGAGAAAACAAAAAUAUGAGAGCUAGCUGGAGGGGAGGUUUUGAAGGACGUUGAGGAAAAACACAAGAGAGGAGUCUAGAGAGGAGGAGAAACGAAGGAAAGGGAAUUGGCUGACGUUUUUUUUGGGAUUAGGAAGAAGGAAACUGGAGGAGGAAGCUUUUCGGAUAUGGGUUGUUUUUUUUUUUUUUUUGAGCAGGGAGGUGAGAGAAAAGCUGGACUGAGAGAGGGAGCAGCAUAUGAGCAAGAAAUGAAUAGAAACUGAACGGGAGCA